rnacentral:rRNA from 1 species
UUCCUACGGGGGGCUGCAGUGGGGAAUAUUGCGCAAUGGGCGAAAGCCUGACGCAGCGACGCCGCGUGAGGGACGAAGGCCUUCGGGUUGUAAACCUCUUUCAGCAGGGACGAAGCCGCAAGGUGACUGUACCUGCAGAAGAAGCACCGGCUAACUACGUGCCAGCAGCCGCGGUGAUACGUAGGGUGCAAGCGUUGUCCGGAAUUAUUGGGCGUAAAGAGCUCGUAGGCGGUCUGUCGCGUCGGAUGUGAAAACCCAGGGCUCAACCCUGGGCCUGCAUUCGAUACGGGCAGACUAGAGUUCGGCAGGGGAGACUGGAAUUCCUGGUGUAGCGGUGAAAUGCGCAGAUAUCAGGAGGAACACCGGUGGCGAAGGCGGGUCUCUGGGCCGAUACUGACGCUGAGGAGCGAAAGCGUGGGGAGCAAACAGGAUUAGAUACCCUUGUAGUCUGG